rnacentral:pre_miRNA from 1 species
UAGAUUGGGCUUGGUCGGCAGAUGAAUAAAAGAGAUUAAGUUUUUGUCCUUUUUCAAAAGAAGACACUAGCUUGAUGCAACUCUUAAAUCUGCUGUCCAGUCUUAAUCUACA